ensembl:lncRNA
GGCGUUUAAAGACUCCAUUUGUCCAUUAUUUAUUUCUAAAGAUACACGACAAUGUAUAAAGGGCUCCAUUACCUUCUAUGUUACAUUAUGGCCCCGUAGAAACAGUUUUUGUAAAAAUAGGCUAACGAUUGCGUCAUAAACACUCGACUCUCUGUCGCACAGUAGAGAAAUUACCGUACAGACAGGAGGAGAAGCUCGCAGGCAAUCGGGGAGACGUCAAGAGAUAUGGCGUACUGGCGUUACAUUUUAAAAUACUAUACAAAAUAAUUAAUCAGAAUACUUACUCCUGCUCACUCAGGCCAAAGAACUCCCCGCUCAAGCUCGCCGUCUCUGCAAGAUUAACGAUGGCAGUUUGCACGCACAGCUACUAGAAGGUUUACAUCUGUCAGACAGGUUGCUGACGUCAUCAAGCUUAGUUUGAGUCUGCGCGUCAGAAACGGAAGUUCUAAAAAUCGCUAAAAACGGGCUUCACUUGUCUCAAUUGAGUUCCAAUGGGGUCGCUGUGUCCAUUUCUUUUACUGUCUAUGAUCCGAUUGAACUGCGUCUGCGGCACAAACUAAGAUGGCGGCGCCCAUCGCGCAUACAGCUCAACUAACGCGAUCAUUAUAAAGGUG